rnacentral:misc_RNA from 1 species
AACCAUUCUCACCUGCGGCUAGACCUGCGGAGGGAUCAUUAAUGAAUUGUUCGAAUAAUCUAUGCGGACAAAUUCUUUAAAUCCGUAUCCACACCGGCCGGGGGGGGUUCAAAUGAUGGACCUUUUCGGCCGUAGGGGGUUCUUGAAACUUUCUGGGCCUGGAAUUUUUUCUGGGCCGAGAGAGAGGAGAGGACUCCUGUCUGACCUUUGCCUAAAAUUGAUCUUUUUGACUGAAACUUU